GCUACACAUGCAGUCGAACCGAGUGAGCAGCGCAAGCAAGCUUGCUGCUUUGCUGACGAGUGGCGGACGGGUGAGUAAUGUCUGGGAAACUGCCUGAUGGAGGGGGAUAACUACUGGAAACGGUAGCUAAUACCGCAUAACGUCGCAAGACCAAAGAGGGGGACCUUCGGGCCUCUUGCCAUCGGAUGUGCCCAGAUGGGAUUAGCUAGUAGGUGGGGUAACGGCUCACCUAGGCGACGAUCCCUAGCUGGUCUGAGAGGAUGACCAGCCACACUGGAACUGAGACACGGUCCAGACUCCUACGGGAGGCAGCAGUGGGGAAUAUUGCACAAUGGGCGCAAGCCUGAUGCAGCCAUGCCGCGUGUAUGAAGAAGGCCUUCGGGUUGUAAAGUACUUUCAGCGGGGAGGAAGGGAGUAAAGUUAAUACCUUUGCUCAUUGACGUUACCCGCAGAAGAAGCACCGGCUAACUCCGUGCCAGCAGCCGCGGUAAUACGGAGGGUGCAAGCGUUAAUCGGAAUUACUGGGCGUAAAGCGCACGCAGGCGGUUUGUUAAGUCAGAUGUGAAAUCCCCGGGCUCAACCUGGGAACUGCAUCUGAUACUGGCAAGCUUGAGUC
rnacentral:rRNA from 1 species